rnacentral:tRNA from 1 species
GCCAUUUUUAGUGGGGUUCGAGUAGGGAACAGGCUUACUCGUAAUGAGCAGGACAGCGGUUCGAGUCCGCUCGUCGGCU